rnacentral:rRNA from 1 species
GACGAACGCUGGCGGCGUGCUUAACACAUGCAAGUCGAACGGUAAGGCCCUUCGGGGUACACGAGUGGCGAACGGGUGAGUAACACGUGGGUGAUCUGCCUUGCACUUCGGGAUAAGCUGGGAAACUGGGUCUAAUACCGGAUAGGACUCCGGACUGCAUGGUCUGGGGUGGAAAGCUUUUGCGGUGUGGGAUGGGCCCGCGGCUUAUCAGCUUGUUGGUGGGGUGCUGGCCUACCAAGGCGACGACGGGUAGCCGGCCUGAGAGGGUGACCGGCCACACUGGGACUGAGAUACGGCCCAGACUCCUACGGGAGGCAGCAGUGGGGAAUAUUGCACAAUGGGCGCAAGCCUGAUGCAGCGACGCCGCGUGAGGGAUGACGGCCUUCGGGUUGUAAACCUCUUUCAGCACAGACGAAGCGCAAGUGACGGUAUGUGCAGAAGAAGGACCGGCCAACUACGUGCCAGCAGCCGCCGUAA